UCGAAAGGAUAUUUCAAAUUUUUGUGCAAUGCAUCUCUGUUUGCCAAAUACUUGAAAAGCAACGAGUUCUUCUUCUACUGAGAACUCCGCAAGGUAGGUAAAUCUCGUGUAGCUGCUAAACAAAUCCUACAGAUAAGAAAAAAUUGCCAUUAUACUUUUUUUCUGUAAUAUUUUUAAAGGCACAAUUAUCCAAUUUUGUUUAACAGAACUAGUGUAUUGCUAGAUGAGGAAGUCUGUAGAAAUGUGAAGUCGUAUCCCAUAGUAUCAGGAAUUAGUAAAUUUAAGAGAUUUUCAAUCCACUGAUUGUUUUAACUUCUCUAGUUUGUAAUGUACCUUUUGUUUCAACCUUGGAUGUUGGGACGUUUCUAGUUG